UACGAAGGGGGCUAGCGUUGUUCGGAUUUACUGGGCGUAAAGCGCACGUAGGCGGGUCGUUAAGUCGGGGGUGAAAUCCUGGAGCUCAACUCCAGAACUGCCUUCGAUACUGGCGACCUAGAGUCCGGAAGAGGUGAGUGGAACUCCUAGUGUAGAGGUGGAAUUCGUAGAUAUUAGGAAGAACACCAGUGGUGAAGGCGGCUCACUGGUCCGGUACUGACGCUGAGGCGCGAAAGCGUGGGGAGCGAACAGG
rnacentral:rRNA from 1 species